GCCUGGGUGGCUCAGUGGUUGAGCACCUGCCUUUGACUCAGGUCGUGAUCCCAGGGUCCUGGGUUUGAGUCCUGCAUCGGGCU
rfam:Canis lupus familiaris chromosome 36, whole genome shotgun sequence.